AUUGCGUAAUAAAUGUGCAUAAAAUCGCAAACUUUUGUCGGGAGUGUCGAUUAAAGUGACGGGCGAUUGUUGAGAGGUAUGUAUUUAUCGCGAAUAUUCAUAAUUAACUACGUUUCAUCGAUUGUCUGGUCGUCCGUAAAUUGAAGCAGGUUAGAAUAUCAGUGUAACUUGCAGAAAACUCAGGACGUCGGAUUUAUAUCGAGUAAUGAUCGUGCAUACACACGCACACGCACACACAACACCCGCGUACGUAUCCGCGUACAUAAUGGCUUUUAUUUUUAGGCAAGACUAUCAUUAUUUGUUUUAUUCAUUAUGAGUGUACAUUGUAGAAUCAAUCGUUAAAUUUAUAUCGUUUUAUACUAUAAUUAUAUGUAUGGAUGUGUCGCGACACAAAGUACGUUUAACUUGUAUUCGUUUCACGUACCGUAGCGUGUCAAAUUCGUGAUGUUAAUUCGCAUAAAGUAUACGGGUUAAUUUUCUUUCGAUAGUUGGUUUCGAAACAGAGCAAUUAUCAAACAUUUAUUUAUUCGAAACCGACUCGUAGCGUUGGGGUUGUUUUCGUCGUUACGCUUAGUAUGCGCGCACAUCCUCUUUCUCUCUCUCUCGCGCGCGCGUUCGUGUAUCAACGUAAACAUUGUGGCCCCCACUUCUCGCAUUCCUUUAAGUCGGAAUCGGCACGACCUUGUGUUUCUCAUUGUACCAUUAUUAUUCGCACGGCGGCACUUAUACGAGGUAAAUGUGUAUCGGCGCGUUAUCGUCUUCAAUAAUACCAUUAUUAUUUCUUACAGUUUUCCGUAUCAUGUUUUUCUGUCUAAUCUAUCGCGGAGAGUGUCGAACACGUAGUCCGUGCAAUAAUAUUUCAGUUACAUCUUUGUCUUAAAAUGACAAAGGACGCGUUGGGAGUAUCGCUUAAAAUAUCGGGCGAUUUUCAUAUGUGCGACGCGAACGCGAGUGAGUGCCUUGCACUGCGAGGACUGAGAGGAGGAGGGGGCUCAGAAGGAGCAUCGGGCGCGGGGGAACAACGUUUGCAUCAACUUUGUGCGCGUA